GGGGGCGGGGACAGCAGGAGGCGGGGCCAGAGCUGCCCCUGUCAUUGUGGGGGUCCCUGGCCCUGCAGGAGCUGCUCCAUUUCGGGGUCCCCCCCCGGGGGGUCCUGGGGGGUCUCCAGGCCCUUCCCCCCCCGGCCCUGCUGGGCCUGGCCCGGAGCCCCCCCGGGAGCCGCCUCUGGGAUGCCCUCCUGGGGUCCCCCCACGUCCCCCCCCGGGUCAGGAAACGACUCCUCAAAAAGCUCAAGGGCUCGUGGCUGCUCCUGGCCCGGCACCGCAGCGGGAGCCGCGUCCUGACUCGGCCUGGGGGCCCCCUCCCCACCAGGGUCUCCAUCGCCUCAGAGCUGG